AGUGAACGCUGGCGGCAUGCCUAACACAUGCAAGUCGAACGGUAGCAGAGUAAGAUGCUGCUUGUACGGGGGGGGAGUGGGGUAAGGGAGAGGUAUACAUCGGGACCUACAUUUUCGUGGAAGAUCAGGUAAUGGCACAUACGACCAGAUAGCAUACGCCGUAGGGGUGAAAGCAGGGGACCGUUGGACCGUGCGCGAUUGAAUGAGGUGAUGUCGGGUUAGUUGGUUGGCGGGGUAAAGACCCAGCAAGGCGACGAGCCGCAGCUGGUCUGGGAGGAUGAUCAGCCGCACUGGAACUGGGACACCGACCAGACUCCUACGGGAGGCAGCAGUGUGGAAUUUUGGACAAUGGUCGCAAGCCUGAUCCAGCCAUACCGCGUGUGAGAAGAAGGCCUUCGGGUUGUAAAGCCCUUUUGUUGGGGAAGAAAAGCUUCAGGUUAAUACCCCGCUAUUGUGACGGUACCCGAAGAAUAAGCACCGGCUAACUACGUG
rnacentral:rRNA from 1 species